rnacentral:rRNA from 1 species
CCUACGGGAGGCAGCAGUGAGGAAUAUUGGUCAAUGGGCGCGAGCCUGAACCAGCCAAGUAGCGUGAAGGAUGACUGCCCUACGGGUUGUAAACUUCUUUUGUCAAGGAAUAAAGUGAGGGACGUGUGCCUUUUUGUAUGUACUUUAUGAAUAAGGAUCGGCUAACUCCGUGCCAGCAGCCGCGGUAAUACGGAGGAUCCGAGCGUUAUCCGGAUUUAUUGGGUUUAAAGGGAGCGUAGGUGGGGUGUUAAGUCAGUUGUGAAAGUUUGCGGCUCAACCGUAAAACUGCAAUUGAUACUGGCAGUCUUGAGUACAGUAGAGGUAGGCGGAAUUCGUGGUGUAGCGGUGAAAUGCUUAGAUAUCACGAAGAACUCCGAUUGCGAAGGCAGCUUACCAAACUGCCACUGACAUUGAUGCUCGAAAGCGUGGGUAUCAAACAGGAUUAGAUACCCUUGUAGUC